rfam:Burkholderia glumae BGR1 chromosome 1, complete sequence.
GUACGCGGUGGAAUGAACGCCGCCGCGUCACCAUUCUCCUCUUGUCGUUGUUGCUCCGGGGCUCCAUUCGCCCCGGUUUUUUUUG